UGCCGAGUCGUCUAAUGGUAGGACACCGGCCUUUGGAGCCGUUUGUGGAGGUUCGAAUCCUCCCCCGGCAG
rnacentral:tRNA from 1 species